GGAAUGUGCCGAGCUCUUCCAGGAGAAACAGUUAUCACCCCUUCCUCAUUGGAGACAAUGAAUCAUCCCCACCCCGUAGAGGGCCCUCUCCUGGAGGAAAAGAAGAACAAUCGGAGAGCAGGUAUUUGUUUCAGGAAUAAAAGAGUGACCCUUGUUACCUGGCCAGUGGUUUCAUUCACCUCUUUUUGCUCUUCAUCAAAAGCCCAUGACUCAUCUCAGGAUGUGCUGGAAUUGGAGAGCAAGUAAAACCCCCACUAAGUCCUGGUAAGAGCAGCUGGUUCUUUAAUGUUUAUCAGGAGUGAACUCGGAGCCUGGAGAAGUGUACAUGUGCUCAUCAGCAAUCA
rnacentral:lncRNA from 1 species